GAUGAACGCUGGCGGCGUGCUUAACACAUGCAAGUCAAACGAGGUCCAACCUUCGGGUGAAGACCGAGUGGCGAACGGGUGAGUAACACGUGGGGAACCUGCCCUUCUCUCUGGGAUAACGUCGGGAAAUCGGCGCUAAUACCGGAUACUCCUUGCGAACCGCAUGGUUCGCUCGGGAAAGCUCCGGCGGAGAUGGAUGGCCCCGCGGCCCAUUAGCUAGUUGGUGAGGUAACGGCCCACCAAGGCGACGAUGGGUAGCCGAGCUGAGAGGCUGGUCGGCCACACUGGGACUGAGACACGGCCCAGACUCCUACGGGAGGCAGCAGUGGGGAAUCUUGCGCAAUGGGCGAAAGCCUGACGCAGCAACGCCGCGUGCGGGAUGAAGGCCCUCGGGUCGUAAACCGCUUUCAGCAGGGAUGAAAUUGACAGUACCUGCAGAAGAAGCCCCGGCUAACUACGUGCCAGCCGCCGCAGUAAGAC
rnacentral:rRNA from 1 species